rnacentral:rRNA from 1 species
UACGGAGGGUGGAAGCGUUAUCCGGAUUCACUGGGUUUAAAGGGUGCGUAGGCGGGUUGGUAAGUCCGUGGUGAAAUCCCCAAGCUUAACUUGGGAACUGCCGUGGAUACUAUCAAUCUUGAAUAUCGUGGAGGUAAGCGGAAUAUGUCAUGUAGCGGUGAAAUGCUUAGAUAUGACAUAGAACACCAAUUGCGUAGGCAGCUUACUACACGAUCAUUGACGCUGAGGCACGAAAGCGUGGUGAUCAAACAGG